rnacentral:lncRNA from 1 species
GCGUGGGUGGCCUGGCUCCUGGAGUAGGUGGCCUGGUUCCUGGCGUAGGUGGCCUGGUUCCUGGUGUUGGAGGUGUCCCAGGUGAGGAGGAGGAAGGCAAGGGUGAGAGCAGCCUGGCAGGUGUGGGGGCAGUUGUGGGGGCAGGACAGGCUUGAGGAGAACCUCAGCAGUGUCCCUGGGGGGCUGCAGACAGGGCCUGAAGGAUGGGCUCUGCCCAGGUUUGCUGUGAGGCCUUCCCAGGGUCUGACCCCCCUCUGCUGUCUCUGCCCAGGUGUUGGAGGUCCUGCAGCAGCAGCCAAAGCAGCAGCCAAGGCAGCCAAAUUUGGUGCCGGGGUUGGAGGGGUGCCAGGGGUGGUGCCUGGCGUGGGCGGAGUGCCCGGAGUGGCACCCGGUGUUGGUGGCGUGCCCGGCUUGGUGCCAGGGGUGGGAGUACCUGGAACUGGCAUCCUUCCCGGGGCAGGCAUCCCCCAAGUAGGGGUGCAGCCUGGUGCUAAACCUCCCAAAUUCGGUGUUCCUGGGGUUGGAGUCCCAGGGGUUGGUGGCCUCCCAGGUGGCCUUGGCGUCGGUGGGCUCGGAGUUGGUGGUCUCGGUGGGGUCGGCGGCCUGGGAUUCGGCGGGAAACCCCCCAAGCCCUACGGAGGAGCUCUGGGUGCCCUGGGCUUUAGAGGCGCGGGCUGCGCGGCAGGGAAGUACUGCGGGAGGAAGCGGAAGUAACGCUCCGUCACCGAUCACCUCAUGAACUUUGGUGCUACUGCAUGGUCCAGAAUGUAAAUCCGAAGCAAAGCUGAGACACCCUCUCCUCCAGCCCCGGAGCCCCCCGUCCAUCCCGGGGCCGUUCCCCGGCAGCGCCCGGCCCCCCCCCGGCCCUCGGUCCCGGCAGGGAGCGCGGAAUAAACUGCGGGGAGCAGCCGUCCCCCUUGGUGCU